UGUUUGACAACAUUGCAUAUCACAAAACAAUAGUAAAUUGUUCAAAUUCCACUAAGCCAUAUCCUAUAUUGACAUCACUUUACACUAAAUAGUGUAGUAUAGAACAAUAGCGAUUCAUUCAAAUUCAACUAUACUACAAUGCUAUAAUGUUGCUAUAGCCGCUAUUAGAGAACAUUGGCUAUACCAAAGACGCAAUGGCACCGAUCAAAAUGGCUACUGAUAACAGAAAUAAACAAUUGCAAAUAGUUAUUAAUAACAUACCAUUGCCAAUUCCAGGCACAAUAGUUCAAAUCACAAAAAGUCUUGCGAAUUCAAAAAAAAAAACAUAACAAUAAGGUUCAAUAAGUUCACCACUUUGAGUCAACCACAUUAUUCAACAAAAAAACAUCCAAAAAAAAAAGACCUAGGAAGUGUCCCAUGGUUUGGGUUCAGGGAGUGCAACAACCAUACCUUGAAGAUCGUGAUUAAGAAGAACCUGACAACCAAGUCUGGAAUGCUUAUUAAGAACCCUAAGCCUGGAAUUAUGUUUAAGAACAUAUUCUUCGUCGUAAGUCCUAGGUGGAAGCUUAUCAAGCCAUUCUUGAGCGAUGUUGAUUUCGCAGUGAGCUGAACAAGCGUCGAUCUCUUCGAGACGGUGAGAAUCAGGGUCGAUUAAGCCCGUGUUGACUAGGGCUCUCAAGAGGGUUUGGCCCGUUAGGCCACAUAACAAUAAGGUUCAAUAAGUUCACCACUUUGAGUCAACCACAUUAUUCAACAAAAAAACAUCCAAAAAAAAAAGACCUAGGAAGUGUCCCAUGGUUUGGGUUCAGGGAGUGCAACAACCAUACCUUGAAGAUCGUGAUUAAGAAGAACCUGACAACCAAGUCUGGAAUGCUUAUUAAGAACCCUAAGCCUGGAAUUAUGUUUAAGAACAUAUUCUUCGUCGUAAGUCCUAG
rnacentral:lncRNA from 1 species